GGGCGGGUAGCUCAGUGGUAGAGCGCCUCCCUUACAAGGAGGACGUCGUCGGUUCGACCCCGGCCCCGCCCACCA
rnacentral:tRNA from 1 species